GAUAGCUCAGUUGGCUAGAGCGUGACUCUGAUAACACCAAGGUUGAAGGUUCGAUCCCUGUAAGGGACA